rnacentral:antisense_RNA from 1 species
AUAUGAUUCACAUACCCUUCAAUUGAUUUAUUUAUUGAAAUCUGCAACUCAGUAGGUUUUAGAAUAUUCACAGAGCUGUGCAUCGAUCACCACAGUCACUUUUAGAACCUUUCAUUAUCCUGUAGAGAAAUCCAUACCCCUUAGCCGCUACCUCCUACUCUCCCCACCUACCUUCGCCCCCAGCCUUAGGCAACCAUUGAUUAAUUUUUUUGUCACUAUAGAUUUGCCUAAUCUGGACAAAUAGAAUUGUACAAUAUGUGAUCUUUUGUGGCUUUUUUUCCCUCUUAGCACAGUGUUUUCAAAGUUCCUUUAUGUCAUAGUGUGUAUCAAUAUUUCAUUCCUUCUAUGGCAGUAUUCCAUGGUAGAGACACACUGCAUUUUGUUUAUUUGUUCAUCAGUUGGUGGAUAUUUGGGUUGUUUCCAUGUAUUGGUCAUUAUGAAUAAUGCUGCUAUGAAGAUUGUUGUACAAGUUUUUGUGCGGACAUAUAUUUUUAUUUGUCUGGGAUAUAUGCCUAUGAGUGAAAUUGUUGCAUUAUAGGAUGACUGUACAUUUAGCCUUUUGAGAAACUGCCAGACUGUUUUCUAAAGUGGCUACACCAGUUGGGUGCAAUGGCUCACACCUGUAAUCCCAGCUACUCAGGAGGCUCAGCUAGGAGGAUGGCUUGAGCCCAUGAAUUCAAGACCAGCUGGGCAAGAUAGUGAAACCCUGUCUUGAUUUUUUUUAAAUCCAAUUAAAAUGACAAGAAAAGAAAUACCCAAACAAAAUGGUUACACGAUUUUAUGUUCCCACCAGUAAUGUAUGUGGGUUCCAAUUCCUCCACAUCUUCACUGACAUUUUUUUUUUUUCUAGAUAGGGGCUUGCUCUGUCUCUCAGGCCGCAGUGCAAUGAUGCCAUCACAGUUCACUGCAGCCUUGACUUCCCAGGCACAAGUGAUUCUCUCAUCUCAGCCUCCUGAGUAGCUGAAAAUUACAGGUGUACACUACCAUGCCUGGCUAAUUUUUAUAUUUUUUUUGUAGUGAUGGGAUUUUACCAUGUUGCCCAGGCUGGUCUCAUACUCCUGGCCUCAAGUGAUCUGCCCACCUCAGCCUCCCUAAGUUCUGGAAUUACAGGCUGCCACCAUGCCCGGCCUUCACCAACAUUUGCCAUUAUCUGUUUUUUUUUUUUCCUUUAUACCUUAAAGCAGUAUAAGAACAAGUGUCUUCAAUUAUAGGAAACAGUAUAAUCCCAGGGCAUUGGGAGGCUAAGACAGGAAGAUGUCUUGAUGCCAGGAGUCUUUUUUGUUGUUGUUGUUUUUGUUUUUGUUGUUGUUGUUGUUGCUGUUGUUGUUGUUUUUGACAGAGUCUCACUCUGUCACCCAGGGUGGAGUGCUGUGAUGGGGUCCACUGCAACCUCCACCUCCCAGGUUCAAGUGAUUCUCCUGCCUCAGCCUCCCGAGUAGCUGAGACUACAGGUACACGCCACUACUGCCCAGCUAAUUUUUUUAUUUUUGGUAGAGUCAGAGUUUCACCAUGUUGGCCAGGCUGGUCUCAAACUCCAGACUUCAGGUGAUUUGCCUGCCUUAGCCUCCCAAAGUGCUGGGAUUACAAGCAUGAGCCACCAUGCCCAGCCUGAUGCCAGGAGUUUUAGACUAGCCUGGGCAACCUAGCAAGACCUUGUCUCUACAGAAUAUUUAGAAAUUAGCCAAACGUGGUGGUGCCUGUGUAUAGUCUCUCUCCCUCUCUUUUUUUUCUUUCUAACUUUUUGUGACAUGGUCUGGCUCUGUCACCCAGGCUGAAGUGCAGUGGUGUGAUCAUGGCUCACUGCAGCCUGAAACUCCUGGGAUCAAGUGAUCAAUCCUCCCAUCUCAUCCUACCAAGAAGUAGGGACCACAGGUGUAUGCCACCCAGGUCUUGCUAUGUUGCCCAGGCUGGUCUUGAGCUCCUGGCCUCAAGCAAUCCUCUCACCUUGGCCCCCCACAGUGCAAGGAUUACAGGUAUGAGCCGCCAUGCCUGGCCCCUACCCUGCCUAUUGAGAACCAAAAGAAGGAUCCAAAUUCUCCUUAGCUCAACUCGAGCCAUUUCCUGAUUGCUUCAUCAGCAAGGAGCUGGUUAUUGGGCUGUCCAGGCCUCCCAAGCAGCACAGAAAUGAGGUGAAGGAGUUUUCCUGCUGCUCCACUCUGUAAGGAGUUGGAGGGUGAUGUUUACUCGUUUGCAGAGAGAGAUGCCUUGUAGGCACCUCAGGAUGGAGAGGACCCUGAUUCCAAUGUCCUUUUUUUCUUUAGAAACAGGACCUUGCCCUGUCAUUUAGGAUGGAGUUCAGUGGUCCAAUCAUGGCUCAUUGUAGCCUCAAACUCCCAGGCUCAAGCAAUCCUACCAUGUCAGCCUUCCCAGUAGCUGGGACUACAGCUGGAUCUACCAUGAAAGACUUCUGAAUCCAGGAAGAGAGACUGACUGGGCAACAUGUUAUUCAGGUACAAAAAGAUUUGGACUGUAAGUUAAAAAUGAUCAAAUAAUAGUGCAUGCAUCAAGUGCAAUGGGAAGCUCUUCUGGAGAGUGAGAGAAGCUUCCAGUUAAGGUAACAUUGAAGCCAAGUCCUGAAAGAUGAGGAAGAGUUGUAUGAGAGUGGGGAGGGAAGGGGGAGGUGGAGGGAUGGGGAAUGGGCUGGGAUGGGAUAGCGCAAACUGCCCGGGAAGGGAAACCAGCACUGUACAGACCUGAACAACGAAGACGGCAUAUUUUGUUCAGGGAGUGGUGAAUUAGGUGUGGCAGAAAUGCUUUGUAGAGACAGUAAUUUGCUUGUAUGGAAUUUUGCCUGAGAGACCUCAUUGCAGUUUCUGAUUUUUUGAUGUCAUCAUCCAUCACUGUCCUUGUCAAAUAGUUUGGAAUAGAAUGAUCACAAUAACCCCAAGCAUAAUAUUUCAUUAAUUCUCACAGAAUCACAGGUAGGUGCCACAGUUAUCCCCAUUUUAUGAAUGGAGUGAUGAAGCCUUAGGAAUAAUGAAUGAUUUGCCCAAGCUCACCUGGAUAUUAAGACUGAGUCAAAUGUUGGGUCUGGUCUGACUUUAAUGUUUGCUUUGUUCAUGAGCACCACGUAUUGCCUCUCCUAUGCAGUUAAGCAGGUAGACAGGUGACAGAAAAGCCCAUGUUUGUCUCUACUCACACUCUUCCGACUGAAUGUAUGUAUGGAGUUUCUACACCAAAUUCUCCAGUGCUCUGGAUAUUAACUGGGUAUCCCAUGAUUUUAUUCUGACACUGCCUGGAGUUAGCACAGACCCCACAAGUUACGGGCUCAGUCCCACGAGACCAUCCUCACUUCAGAUGCCAAUGGCAAGUCCUUGGUUGUCACCUGUACUUUUGACCAACCUGUUACAAAUCGGGGGUUCCCAUAACUCUAUUCUUGGGUUUAAUUAUUUGCUAGAACAGUUUACAGAACUCAGAAAAACAGUUUAUUUUCUUUUUUUCUGAGAGAGAGGGUCUUAUUUUUUUGCCCAGGCUGGUGUGCAGUGGUGCAGUCAUAGCUCACUGCAGCCUUGACUGCCUGGGCUCCAGUGGUUCUCCCACCUCAUCCUCCCUAGUAGCUGAGACUACAUGCCUGCACCACCACAUCUGGCUAAUUUAUUUUUUGUAUAGAUGGGGUCUUGUUGUGUUGCCCAGGCUGGCCACAAAUUCCUGGUCUCAAGUGAUCCUCCCACCUCUGCCUCUUAAAGUGCUAGGAUUACAGAUGUCAGCCACCGCAUCUGGCCAGUUCAUUUCCUAUUGCUGGUUCAUUGCAAAGGAUACAUUUCAGAAACAGCCAAUGAAAGAGACGUACAUGCUGGAUGCAGUGGCUCACGCCUGUAAUCUCAGAACUUUGGGAGGCCAAGGUGGGAACAUCGCUUAAACUGAGGAGUUUGAGACCAGCCUGGGCAACAUGGUGAAAACCUGUCUCUACAAAAAA